rnacentral:misc_RNA from 1 species
CGCACCUUGCGCCUUUUGGUAUUCCGAAAGGCAUGCCUGUUUGAGUGUCAUGAAAUCUCAAUCCCUCUGGUUUUCUGAACUGGUUGGAUUGGACUUGGGUGAUUUGCCAGCAAUGGCUCGCCUCAAAUGACUUAGUGGAACAUCCCACAUCAGUGUUAGACGUAAUAAGUUUCGUCUCUCCUUGUGGUGAUGACUGCUUAGAACCUGCCAUCGCGCAACCUUUUGACAUUGACCUCAAAUCAGGUAGGGCUACCCGCUGAACUUAA